rnacentral:rRNA from 1 species
AAAUGAUUUAUCGCCGUAGGAUGGGACUGCGGCCUAUCAGUUUGUUGGUGAGGUAAUGGCCCACCAAGACUAUUACAGGUACGGGCUCUGAGAGGAGUGGCCCGGAGAUGGGUACUGAGACACGGACCCAGGCCCUAUGGGGCGCAGCAGGCGAGAAAACUUUGCAAUGUGCGAAAGCACGACAAGGUUAAUCCGAGUGGUUUCUGCUAAAGGAACCUUUUGUCAGUCGUAGAAUCACUGAUGAAUAAGGGGUGGGCAAGUUCUGGUGUCAGCCGCCGCGGUAAAACCAGCACCUCAAGUGGUCAGGAUGAUUAUUGGGCCUAAAGCAUCCGUAGCCUGCUUUGUAAGUUUUCGGUUAAAUCCAUACGCUCAACGUAUGGGCUGCCGGGAAUACUGCAAAGCUAGGGAGUGGGAGAGGUAGACGGUACUCGGUAGGAAGGGGUAAAAUCCUUUGAUCUAUUGAUGACCACCUGUGGCGAAGGCGGUCUACCAGAACACGUCCGACGGUGAGGGAUGAAAGCUGGGGGAGCAAACCGGAUUAGAUACCCGGGUAGUCCCAGCUGUAAACUAUGCGAACUCAGUGAUGCAUUGGCUUGAUGCCAAUGCAGUGCUGCAGGGAAGCCGUUAAGUUUGCCGCCUG